GAUUUUUCUUGCUGGUGGUUUGUGAGGCUGGAAGCAGUUGAAGGAUGGAGCUGGUGAAUUGAUGUGGAGCCUCCUGAUUGGUACUCAUCCUUCUCGUUGACGUCAUUUGAGCCAAUGCGAACUGUCCGAUCCAAGAAUCAGAGGUGAGAGAGCCAAAAGAGAGAUGGUUGGCAAAAGAAGAUUAAUGGCAGGAGAUGAGUUUCUUUUUGACAACAUCAUUUAAAUUGUCGAUGAGAAAAGCGAGCCACAUUUUAUUUCGAAAACAUAUGCAAGUAGUCCAAAUGGUUAUGGUGAAUAGCAACACAUUAAGAAGUAGUCGGAUCCGUUGCAAUAAACACAAUCUCAACUGAAUCAUUUUACAAA